rnacentral:rRNA from 1 species
GAGCUUCACGCUAAUGAUGAUGAUGAUGAGGCGAAGCAGGACAUGGAAAGUCGUCGCAAAGGCAAAAAGGCCAAGAAGAUUGGAAAUGACUACCCUCCCGCGUGCUUCACUCUAAGUCAGGAGGAGAUCGAGCAGUUUUUCACCUGCCUCGUAGGAGUAAAACUUCCUUACGGUUAUGCAGGGAAGAUAAGCAGAUACCUAGACUCAGCGAAGCAGAAGUUCAGCGGGAUGAAGUCUCAUGACUGUCCCGUGCUGAUGACGCAGAUACUUCUAGUUGCAAUCCGUGGGAUCAUGGACGCGCAUGUCCGUGAAACACUAUUU